UGGUUGAUCCUGCCAGAGGCUACCGCUAUUGGAGUUCGAUUAAGCCAUGCGAGUCGAGAGUCUUAGGGACUCGGCGUACCGCUCAGUAACACGUGGGUAACCUGCCCUAUGCUGGGGAAUAACCUCGGGAAACUGAGAAUAAUGCCCCAUAGUCCACAAUGCCUGGAACGGUUUGUGGAUUAAAGCCCCGGCGGCAUAGGAUGGGCCUGCGGCGUAUCAGGUUGUAGGGGGUGUAACGUACCCUCUAGCCAUCAACGCGUACGGGUGUUGGGAGACAUAGCCCGGAGACGGAUUCUGAGACACGAAUCCAUACCCUACGGGGUGCAGCAGGCGCGAAAACUUGGCAAUGCGAGAAAUCGUGACCAGGGAACUCCAAGUGGCUGGGGUAAGACCCAGUCUUUUCUUGACUCUUCAAAGGUCUUGGAAUAAGAGGUGGGUAAGGACGGUGCCAGCCGCCGCGGUAAUACCGGCGCCUCAAGUGGUAGUCGAUUUUAUUGGGCCUAAAACGUCCGUAGCCUGUUUGGUACAUUCGUGGGUAAAUCAACCAGCUCAACUGGUUGAAUUCUGCGAGCACGGCCAGACUUGGGACCGGGAGAGGUGUGGGGUACGCUCAG
rnacentral:rRNA from 1 species